rnacentral:lncRNA from 1 species
UUAAGGAAGGCAGCUCAUCCUGCAGCACCAGGUCUAUAUACAGUAAGGAGUCCCUUCCCCCCUGCUCUCGGGGGAAUGUCGCCCUCCACAGACACCAGCGCAAGGAAGGAGCCCUCCAGUUGUAGGAAUGGGAGACUACAAGUCCCACCUGCGGCCGUCUCUCCCACUCCCUACCCCGCUGAGGAUGCGCCAAGGCCCCACCACCAUGUGACCUGUUGAGGCCUGUGACUACCCUGUUCCUGAUUCCUAGGAGAGCAAUGGUUCAUGGGACAGAUGAGCUAGAGGAGUCCAGACAGAUCUGCACAGGUCACUCCACAGGAGAUCUGCACUCUCUAUACUAGAAACAAAGUGCUUGAAAAAGUUACGAGACUGACACCCGGCCUGGUAAGAACUUCCACCCCAACAAGGACCAAGACCAGAAGGAAAUGAGCCUGGGCUGUGGCUGGGGUUGGGGAAGGGGGCAGGCAGCUCUCUGAGCUAACUCCCCAGCCUUGGGAAGGCCUACCUCCCUGGGUGAGGGAGGCCUUAUUACUUUCUCUUACUUUCCUUAGAUACCUCACAUUCCUGUGAGG